GAAAGAAUAGCUCAGUUGGUAGAGCGGACAUCAGUAAAACGGGGCAACCAUGGAAAUCCUCGUGGGGAUGUUAGGUCGGUGGUUCAAGUCCAUCUUCUUUCA
rnacentral:tRNA from 1 species